UGCGGCUAGGGUUUGGGAACUCAAUCUCGGAAGAUCCGUCCAUAGUUAGGGCUUCCGAGUCGCAGUUCUCUAUAUAAACUGCGCAAUUGAAGCAAUUCAAGAGUGGAUUGCAGCGCCUCCCCUCCCACCAGAAACUUCCUGCGUUUGGCAUGUUCCUAUAACUGCAUUCUGUUUCUCUGCAACUCCUAUAAAGAUAAUGGAGGUGUUUAAAGCCCUAACUUGAUAGAACAAAAUCUCCUUGGGGUUAGGGUUACGCACGCCACCAAAUUUUAGAAAAUUACCAGAAUCACACGCAUUAUGUUUACACUUAAAAACCUCAAUUUAAUCAUUAAGUUUUAAAUUUGUUACACUUAAAUUCUUAAAUAUUGUAAAAUAUACAUAUCUUCUGUGAACUAUAAUUAUGAUAAAAAUUUGAAACUAUAAGAUUUUUUUAUGGUUUAAUUA